ensembl:lncRNA
UCCAUUUCGAGACGAUGGGUAGCAGCCUUAUGUGGUUUGAUCGCUUGCUUUCAUCACCCAUGCCCAAUUAUUAUACAUGAGAUCCAUCAGCCCCCUCGCAGCAACAGUUCCUGCAGCUGAGCAUCAGCACGCUUGGGAACAAUAAAGGGCUGGCACUUGGGAGUUUCUUUCCCUUCUAAAUGGGCAGGACCCAAAAUUCCUCCCUUGCAGAGCUCACCGAUCAGGUUUGUUACUGGAACAGGUACAUUUCCAUCUGAGCAGCCUGAGGAUGUGGGAUUUGGGAAGAUUUGUUGCCAGUUUACAUUCAGCAUUGUUGGUUGUGUGCUCUGGUGGAGUUUCGGAUAGGUACAGGGCAAACCAUGGAAAGGCUCCUGCCUUUGUGUGAUUGAUUUUUAAGGAUAAUUUGCCAUUUUGUUCCUUGCCUCCUUCCUAAUGAGCUGAAUUGUUAAAAUAUGUUAAUGUAAGGAGACACACGAGAAAGGGUGAAGCAAUCUACUGACACAUUGGAUAAUUAGAUCAUCUCCUGCGCAGGAAAAAAGUCAAGUACGAAACAGGAACAAGAAGCGCCUCCCUCCCCCCCUGUAGAGGCACCAGGUCUGGCUCUUUCUGCAUGCAGAAGCAGGUGACUCAAAGCAGGAGGGAGCAGAUGGCAGCAUCGUUAGCUGGUGGCCACAGCCUUCCCAGAUGAGUUUUGGAAUUUCCAUCAAAGUCGGGAUUAGGCUCAGGAUAUGCCGGUGGCACAGAGCACGCCGGGGGAGCGUGGAAGAAGAGGAAAUCAUUCAUAGCGACUCAUCUCGUGGUUGGGUGCUGAUCUCACAGAGGUGUCCUGCAUAUGCCAAAGGACGAACGUGUUGUUUGAGGGAAAAGCUGCUCAUAAAUCUGUGCAAACUGAAAGAUUCUGAAGACAAACCUGUCAGUAGUGAAUUGUCCCAGAAGCACAUGGAGAAAGUUGUACAUGGUGGAGGCUGUUUUUUCUGAGGCUGAAACUCAUCUCAACUCCUCAUGACCAGCUGAGCAAGAGAGAUGGGAUUUGAUGCUAUCCAAGGUGUAAUUCCACAGUUCAUGUCUUUUGCUACUGCCAGCUUAAUAAGUUUCUGCCCACUCCCAGCCAUUCAUUUCCAGCCCAGCAGCAAUGCAGUGCCAUCUCUUCCCUGACCGUGCGGAAAACCAGAUGGCUGAAAAUAACUCAGUCAAGAAAAGAAACCCUUUAUUUUAUUUUUUUCCUUUGAAUUAGAUUCAUUUGAAUGAUGCCCAUGGGCAGUCGUAUUGGUACAACUGAAGGUGACAUGAACUGCAGCAUCAGAGGCAGCAGUGAGCACUGGAGGGUGUCCCAAUGCUAAGUGAUCUUGCUGUCAACAAAAAUCUGCUCUGGGACCAUAUCCUGGAUGAAGGGGUGUUUCACUAGCCACAGGAUUAUUUAUUGAACUGCUGCUUUUCAUUUAUUUUAUUAAGGAAGAUUAACAUCUUCUUGUUUGGGCAGGUUUAUUUUUUUUUUUACUUGAGGAGAUAAACCAUCUCUGUGAGAAGUCAGUCAGCUUUGUGGACAGCCAUGAAUGUCAAUAAAGUCUUGGCAAACACAGUAGGCA